rnacentral:lncRNA from 1 species
UCUCUGAUACAAUGUCAAUAUGCAUAUAUUAUAUAUUACUUGCUAAUUACAUAUAAAAUACACAAUUGGAAAUUAAAAUUUUAACAUUUAGAGCAGCAUCAAAAAACACAAUGUCUUAGAGAUAAAUUUAAUAAAAGGCAUUUGAAAUAAAAUGUGAAAAUAGCAAAACAUUGCUGUUAUUUAGGAAGACCUGAAUAAAAGGAGAUAAUUACUAUGUUUAUGAAUUAGAAGAUAGAGUAUUGUGAAGAUGUUACUUUUCUGCAACUGACAUAUGUAGAUUCAAUGCAGUCCCAAUCAAUAUCCCAGCAGGAACUUUUAAAAAUGAAAAUUGACAAGCUGAUUCUAAAAUUUAUAUGAAAAUGCGAAAGACUACAAUAGCCAAGAUAAUAAUGGAGAAGAGCAAAGUUGGAGGACUUAUACUACCAGAUACCAAGACUUAAUGUAAAGCUACAAUAAUCAAGACAGUGUGGUAUUGGUGCAAAGACCAGCAAAUGGAACAGAACAGCCUCCAGCAACGCAUCCAUCCAUAUGCAUCACUUGAUUUAUGACAAAGGAAGCGCUGCCCUCAGUUGUGAGAAUAUUGUUCUUUUCAAUCAAUUGGGCUGGAUUAAUUGGAUAUCCAUUUAGGGAAAGAAAAAAAUCCUUGAUUUCAUACCUUACAUCAUUCACAAUAUUAAUUUAAAAUUAAUGAUGGAUCUACAUUUAGAAGAAAAUCUAGAUAAUAUCUUCCUGACAUUGACAGUAGACAAAAGUUUCCUAAACAAGUCACAAAAAAGCACUAAACAUAAAAACUAUUGAUGUAUUGGACCACAUUGAAAUGAAAAACUGUUCAUCAGAAGAUUGCAUUUAAGAGGUAAAAAAGCAAACCAGACUGGGAAAAGUUAUUUGCAAUACACAUAUCUGACAAAGGACUUCUAUCCAGAAUAUAUACAGAGCUUCUACAAGCCAGUAAGAAAAAGACUAACAACUCAACUUAAAACUGACCAAAAGAUUUGAACUGGCAUUUUGCAAAAUAUGAUAUCCAAAUAUUUAAUAAACAUAUGAAAAUUGCCCAACAUAAUUAGUCACCAGGGAAAUUAAAUGAAAACCAUAGUGAGAUACAAGUACACACAUACCAGAAUGAAAUGAAUACAAUUAAAAAGACAGGCAGUACUGUUUGUGAACCAUUUUCAGAAAACAAUUUUGCAGUAUCUACUAAAGCUAAACAAAUCCCUAUCCCAUGAUCUAGCAAUUCCACUUAGGUCUCUGCCUAAGAGAAAUGAGUUCAAAUAUCCAACAAAAGACAUAUAUGAGACUGGGCAUGGUGCUUCUCAUCUGUAAUCCCGGCACUUUUGGUGGCUGAGGCAGGAGGAUCACUUGAGCCAGGAGUUCAAGACCAGCCUGGGCAACACGGUGAAACCCCAUCUCUACAAAAAUUACAAAAAUUAGCUGGGUGAGGAGGCUGAAGUGGGAAGACCACUUGAGCCCAGACGUUGAGGCUGCCGUGAACCGAGAUGGUACCACCGCACUCCAGCCUAGGCAACAGAGUGAGAUCCAGUCUAAAAAAAGAAAAAAGAAAAGAAAAAAAGACAUAUAUGAGACUGUUCAUAGUAGCUGUUUAGCCACCUCCUUCAUCACCACCACCACUGUUUCUACUUCCAUCAUCCUCAUCAUUACCACCACUAUCACCAUAACGCCAUCACCACCAUUACCAAAACUCAACCAUCACCACCAAUACCUAUGUAACCAGCAGACGCCAUAGUCAUUUGGUCACUGCAACCACUGUCACCAGCAUCAUCAAAAUCUCUACCGUGACCACCACCAUCAUCACUAUUACCACGCUUCCAUCCUUCGGAGUCUGGGCUUAUUCAUUCCAGGAAACUAAAGCUGUUAAACUGGGCUCCCAGCCAGCGGCACCCCCAUUGACCACGGUGCUCCCUGUUCCCACAGCUAGGGCUGAGUUCCUCUGUGUACCCCCUCUCCUCUUCACCCUGUUUUUGUCUGCAGACUGCAUUCCUUCCUCAGGAGCAGUAAGUCUCCACUUCUCCUGACGCGAUUGAGGAUAGGACAGAUGGAAGGCCUGCAGGGACCUUAGCAGCCGGCUGGGCCCCGCAGGGCGCAUACCCAGCCCUCGCUAGAGGGCAGCAGAGCACCAUGCCCCUGCGACCCGGGUUCAUCACAAAGGAAGCUUUGUGGAGUGCAGGCCUGCGCUUUGCAGCUCGCUCCUGAGCCAGUGCCCAGCCCCAGGAGGGGCUGACCAGCUGAUGCGUGGUGAGAGACGAGCAGGCCCUCAAGAUGCACUCUCCGAGAGAGUGAAGAAAGCAACACGAGUAAUCAGGGGGCCCUCCCACCAACCCCCUGCCCCCCGGUCCAUCCUCUUCAAUCCACUCUCCUCCAGUUAGCCCAGCCAUCCUUCCCUGGAAAAACCCUGCCCUGGCUUACUCUCGGGCCUCUGAAGAGUGUCUGAGCUCCCAGCUUGGGACUCGAGGCCAUUUGGGCUCUUGCUCCUGCUGAUCCCUCCGGCUGUGGUCUCCACCACCCUGCACCCCUACCUCCCGCGCUCCAGUCCCCAAAGCUUUGCUUCCAUCCUCUGCUUGUGCCGGUGGUUCUCCCUCUUUCAGGAGUGCUGUCUUCCACUGGGUGGACUCGUCCUGCAAGCUUUCCCUAGAACGCCUUCCCUGCCACCCCCUACCCGCCAGGACAGGUCAGAGCCCGCCUCUGAGUCCCCACAGUCUCCCGGGCUCCCCUCCGUUGCAGCACUGAUCACACUGGGCUUCUCUCUUCCUGUCUGCUGGGCAGCAGAGACUGUGGAUGCUUCAUCCCUGAGGUCUAUGAGCCAGCGCAGGGCCCAGCACACACUGGGAGCUUAGCAAACAUGGGUGGAAGGAAAGAAAGGAGCCAGGAAGGAGGCAGGGGUGCUGGUGAGAGGCCUGCUGGGCGCUUCUCUGUGUCCUUCCUCAGCCUCCAUCUCUCUUCCCUCCCUUCCUCUGGGGGCUAACAAAAAACACUCAACUCCAUGAUGCGAGGAUUCAUUUAGGGACUCAUUUGUCAUGGAGAUCAUCAGCUCCUGUCACAAAGCUGCUCUCAAAUGCACCCAGAAACAGGGUGACAUUCUUCUCGCUUGGGCCAAGCUGGCCUCUCAGACCAAACUGUCCGAUGCAAAUCUAGAAUCCCCAGAGGGUGGAGGCCAGGCUCUACUAGGCCCAGGUGAGCCCCCGUGUCGCUGCUCUCUGCUCUUUCCAGCACCCCAGCAGCACAUUACACAGGAGGGCUUAUGGCCAUUUUUCAGCUAGAGACUGAAGUCUUGGUGGGAAGAGGCAGAGCCCAGUCUGGGGCUCACCCUGCAAGGCAGCGUGGCACAGUACUGAGGUGGAGCGGAGAUGAGAAAGAAGGUCUGUGAGGAAGGAGGUUCUUCUUAUAUCACAUGACAAUCAUCUAUCAUUGCUCCACUUGUACCCCACGCAGAGGAAAAGCCAGAUGGGUCCAGGGCCUGUUGUGAAAUUUUUGCCAACAGAGCUUGCUGUCCAUCUAUAAUUAAAACAUGAGUGGAGGCCAUAGGACUCAUUACAUUUCCCAAAAUUCUCCAUGCAGAGAUCAUUGAAUUCACUUCUGUCUGGCUCACUACUGCAUUUUACAGAUGGGAAAACGAAAGGAGGCCAGUACAGGCUGGGGCAGCAGUUGCAUUCGUGGGAGAGCCGAGACUCUAGGGAGAGAUGGAGAGCCAUAGAAACCCAUUGGUGCCCCUGGGCCACCACUCUUUCCUCUAACUGCCUGCCCCCGCCACCCCCACCCCAGAGGAUACUAAAGUCAGGCUUUCCACUAGACGAGGAGCUUUUUUUUUUUUUUCCUUUCUUUCUUUCUUUUUCUUGAGACAAAGUCUCACUCUAUUGCCUAGGCUAGAGUGCAAUGGCGUGAUUUUGGCUCACUACAACCUCCGCCUCUUGGGUUCAAGUGAUUCUUCUGCCUCAGCCUCCCAAGUAGCUGGGAUUACAGGCAUCCACCACCAUGCCCGGCUAAUUUUUUGUACUUUUAGUAGAAACAGUGUUUCAUCAUGUUGGUCAGGCUGGUCUUGAACUCCUGACCUCAGGUAAUCCACUCGCCUCAGCCUCUUAAAGUGCUGGGAUUACAGGCAUGAGCCAAUGAGCUUUUUGAGCGUGAGGAUCACAUCCCAAUGCCCAGAACAGGGCCUGAUGCAGAGCCGCAUCCUCUAAAUGUCUGUUUGGUGAUGGGAUGAUGGUCCAACAAGAGGAAAUGAAACAUCCUAAAGCCUGGUUUUGUCUUUUAGUAAAGACAAGCCUCUAUGGAUGGUUGGGAAAUCAAAAGACUCCAGGGUUGUUGAAACUCCCUGUCAUUUCCAGGAUCUAGCUCUUCUUCUAGGAAUAUACAUAGCUUUCCCCUGAGUCAAUGUCUGCCUACCAUUCGCCCGGGAAUGACUUACCUAUGAACUGGAUAUUUUCCUCUAAAAAUGGUAAGUCACUAUGUAAAAAUGUCAAGGGCCAUUAAAGUCCAUCUCUUGCACAAUGAUGCCUUCAUGUAUCUGGAACCUUCUGGGUCAGAGGAUGGGAAUUAAUAUUUAUUGAACAAUGGGCACUUCUUUACUUCAUUUUAACUAAUAGUCAAAGUCUGGGCCUGACACCAUGAUUGUCCUCAUUUUACAGAUGAGGAAACGGGCUCAGAGAUGUUCAGUAACUUGCCCUAAGUCCAGAACCACUUUGGGCAGGUAGGCAAGUGGCAGAGCGGGGAUCUUUCUCUUGCCAGUCCCUAGCUUCCAUCCUCUCCUUUCUGCAGCCUGCUUCCUUGAUCUGUUUUGCAAAGCUGAACUUCUUGGAUAACUGAAGUUGAACUUUUAAAUAGACAACUUGCCUUAGUUUAACCAUCUCUGUUGAAACAUGUUUCCAUACCAUCUUGCACACUGCCCUGCCUUCUUCACUGGGAGACCCUGAGUGAUUCCCUUCUUUCUUUCUUUCUUUCCUUUCUUUCUUUCUUUCUUUCCUUCUUUCUUUCUUUCCUUCCUUCUUCCUUCCUUUUUCUUUCUUUCUGUCUCUUUCUUUUUCUUUCUCUCUCUCUCUCUUUCUUUCUUUCUUUCUCUCUCUCUCUCUCUUUCUUGCUUUCUUUUUUGACAGAGUCUUGCCCUGUUGCCCAGGCUGGAGUGCAGUUACACAAUUGCGGCUCACUGCAACCUCCACCUCCCAGGUUCAAGCGAUUCUU